AUCCUGGCUCAGAGUGAACGCUGGCGGUAGGCCUAACACAUGCAAGUCGAACAGCAGCACAGAGGAGCUUGCUCCUUGGGUGGCGAGUGGCGGACGGGUGAGGAAUACAUCGGAAUCUACUCUGUCGUGGGGGAUAACGUAGGGAAACUUACGCUAAUACCGCAUACGACCUACGGGUGAAAGCAGGGGAUCUUCGGACCUUGCGCGAUUGAAUGAGCCGAUGUCGGAUUAGCUAGUUGGCGGGGUAAAGGCCCACCAAGGCGACGAUCCGUAGCUGGUCUGAGAGGAUGAUCAGCCACACUGGAACUGAGACACGGUCCAGACUCCUACGGGAGGCAGCAGUGGGGAAUAUUGGACAAUGGGCGCAAGCCUGAUCCAGCCAUACCGCGUGGGUGAAGAAGGCCUUCGGGUUGUAAAGCCCUUUUGUUGGGAAAGAAAUCCAGCUGGCUAAUACCCGGUUGGGAUGACGGUACCCAAAGAAUAAGCACCGGCUAACUUCGUGCCAGCAGCCGCGGUAAUACGAAGGGUGCAAGCGUUACUCGGAAUUACUGGGCGUAAAGCGUGCGUAGGUGGUCGUUUAAGUCCGUUGUGAAAGCCCUGGGCUCAACCUGGGAACUGCAGUGGAUACUGGGCGACUAGAGUGUGGUAGAGGGUAGCGGAAUUCCUGGUGUAGCAGUGAAAUGCGUAGAGAUCAGGAGGAACAUCCAUGGCGAAGGCAGCUACCUGGACCAACACUGACACUGAGGCACGA
rnacentral:rRNA from 1 species